rnacentral:lncRNA from 1 species
UGGAUACAGAAAUAGCAUUAAUAACAACUGAAUUUUGCAUACCCAAGAGUUUGAAUCCAAAAUUGGAAAAUUAUACUAGUAUAUGAAUAUCAUCAUGACCCAUAGGGUGUCUUGCAGUUUAGGUGACAAGUGAUAUCACAGUCUGGAUCUGGACAACGGUAGGUCCAGUAAUUUGGAUUUCUGGCAUUCUCACAAAUGUCACAGAUUGAAUCGGUAUCGCCAUCUCGAGACAAAGUGGUAAAAGUGACACGGUGGCGGUGAUGCACAGUCUCCAAAGUGUGAGGUUUAAGAGUGCAAUUGAUAUGGCACUGAAAACCACAGUCGGAACAAUUGUAGAGGGCAUGCCUGCCAAGAUCGCCGCACGCCUGGCAUUGAAACCCAAAAUUCUUUCUCCGCGGAUAGAGCCUAAUACGCAGCGGAUGCUCGUGGUAUUUGUGGUGUAGAAUGGAAGGUAAUAAACCACACCGGAUAUUGGUUUGGAGAAGGCAUGUUUGGCACUCAAAUGUGUCUUUCUUA